rnacentral:rRNA from 1 species
UACGUAGGGGGCAAGCGUUGUCCGGAAUCAUUGGGCGUAAAGGGCGCGUAGGCGGCCCUGCGUGUCUUCCGUGAAAUCCCUCGGCUUAACUGAGGACGUGCGGAAGAAACUGCAAGGCUUGAGUCCGGGAGAGGGGGGUGGAAUUCCCAGUGUAGCGGUGAAAUGCGUAGAUAUUGGGAGGAACACCGGUGGCGAAGGCGGCCCCCUGGACCGGUACUGACGCUGAGGCGCGAAAGCGUGGGUAGCAAACGGG